rnacentral:rRNA from 1 species
AAAUUGAAGAGUUUGAUCAUGGCUCAGAUUGAACGCUGGCGGCAGGCCUAACACAUGCAAGUCGAACGGUAACAGGAAGAAGCUUGCUUCUUUGCUGACGAGUGGCGGACGGGUGAGUAAUGUCUGGGAAACUGCCUGAUGGAGGGGGAUAACUACUGGAAACGGUAGCUAAUACCGCAUAACGUCGCAAGACCAAAGAGGGGGACCUUCGGGCCUCUUGCCAUCGGAUGUGCCCAGAUGGGAUUAGCUAGUAGGUGGGGUAACGGCUUACCUAGGCGACGAUCCCUAGCUGGUCUGAGAGGAUGACCAGCCACACUGGAACUGAGACACGGUCCAGACUCCUACGGGAGGCAGCAGUGGGGAAUAUUGCACAAUGGGCGCAAGCCUGAUGCAGCCAUGCCGCGUGUAUGAAGAAGGCCUUCGGGUUGUAAAGUACUUUCAGCGGGGAGGAAGGGAGUAAAGUUAAUACCUUU